AGGAUGAGGUUGAGGAUGAGUUUGAGGAUGAGGGUGAUGAUGAGGAUGAGUCUGAGGAUGAGGGGAAUGACGCUGAUGAGUUUGAGGAUGAGGGUGGUGAUGAGGAUGACGAUCCUGCUGACGAGGAUACAGCACCUAGUGCAGGUACGGCCACAAGUGAAAAAGGUAAAGGUUACAACCUUCGAGCUGAUCCUCCACGUCGGAGUGCAAAUCGGUAUACACCAUCCGCUUUUAACAGGAUUGCAAAGAAGUGCAGAAAGAUAUACAAAGAUAUCAAGUGGGCACCGAGGAAGUGAAGUUGUAACUAGUUAAUUAUUGAGAAUGUUACCUAGGUUCUUACUACUAUUUAAGAGAUAAUGUGUACUAUUGACUCAUUGAGUAUGUUAACUAGGUUAUUAUUGUUAAGUAGGUUGUUAUUGUUGACUAUGUUUAUUUGGUUAUUGGUAUCUACUUAUUGGAUUUGUAGACUA